AGCGCUUCCUGUCGCAGACUCGCGAUCGCUUCUAUCUUGCGCUAUUCUCAUACAAAUGGCUUGCAUUCAUCUACGUUACACUAGUCCGCAUCUAAUGGCCUGAUGUAUCGUUAUAGUAAAAUAAUCUCUACCACAUCUAGAGCCGUAUCUU